AUAAUAGAAUAUCUGUUAGUAAAUUCAAUAGAAAUAUAGCCUAAUAAAAGUUUACUAAAAUAAUGAAUUUCUAUACUAAGGGUUGCUUUUAAAACAAGGUGCUUUGUGAAACUAUCAGUCAACUAUGCCAAGCAUCCUGUAGGUUGUGAUAACAUCAAGUCUUCUAAGACCCUGGGCGCCUACAGACAACAUUUAUGUGGACUCUGACCCACCUGGGCAAUCUACCAGCGGGAGACUGGAGACAGGACAAAGACGACAAAGGACUAGAAUCAACAAAGAACCCCACAGGAGACCCUUGAGCCUGCAUAAUUACAAAGAUAGCCAAUUCCAGGAAAUAAAAUGACUAUGUAGAAGAAUUCUGGGAACUCAUUGACAUGGAACUGAAUAUGCAUGUUUUUGGUGUAUAUUAGUAGGGAUGUUUCCCUGACUCGUUGGAGCACUCAUGGUGGAGAAUCCCCAGUGCUUCCCAGCGCUGCAAUAAAGAAUGCCUGCUCAAUAACAGCUUGUUUGUUGUUAUUGGGUCUUGAUCUCGGAAUCCUUACCCAGCCGCACCUAGCCUCCCACUGCGGUGAGGAGUGUUAGAAAGCAAGGGGGUUUGGAAGCUCCGAAUUUUUUUGUUUCAGUUGGCACCCCAGAUGGGACGUCUUCUCUGCUCGGCUGCGGGAACCUCCGAAUCGGCGACCCCCUAGGCUGGCCCCAGAGAGUUCUCUGGAGGGACUCACCGAUUCGGCGGAUCCACGCGGGAGCAGACAAGGACCUCUGGUAAGAAUAAGGCAUUCUUUUGUUUGUUUGUUUGUUUGUUUGUUUUUGGGACCGGUCAGUUGGAAGGCUGCCUCGUAAGUCGCAGUUCGUAAGAACCCCGCAGGGUGGCGAAAGCACAGUAGAGUGUGCUUUUUGGUUCAGCACGCGUAAGUGUGCUUUGGGUACAAGCUCAGUAGAGUGAGCUUUGGUACAUUUGGUUCAGCACGCGUAAGUGUGCUUUGGGUACAAGCUCAGUAGAGUGAGCUUUGGUACAUUUGGUUCAGCACGCGUAAGUGUGCGUUGGCGGUAUAAGCUCAGUAGAGUGAGCUUGUACAAGUAUUGAUUUCCUGGUAAUCAGACUUGGCAAAUGUUAUUUUAGGUUGUGAACUUGGAAAAUGUUAUCUGGAUAUUGAGUUAUUAUUGGAAAUACUGAUUUUUUGGUUUGGGAAUUGCAUUGUAUUAUCUCAUGAGACUGGAUGAAAUAUUUGUGAAUUGGGUGUGUGUGUGUGACUGAGACGUGCAGUCAAGCACGAAGUGAGUGUGGAGUUCUGAUCCGCGGUUCCGUAGCUCCGCGAGGGGCGCGGCCGGAGACGAACAAAGCGCAAGUUUUGUCAUUUGUAACUAUGUAUAGAGAUCUCUUUAAAAUUGAAACAAUAGCAAAGUUUGGCUGAUAGUAACUUGGAGUGUCUUAGCAGCUGCCGAAGGGAUAAUAACUGGAUGGAUAAUUGUUUAAUGUGUGUUUUGUAAGUGUCCCAAGUUCCCUAUGUUUUAUGUGAUUAAUGUAAGGUUUUUUGAGACAAUGAUAUAAUUGGAAUUGUCAAUUGUGGGGCUGACCUGUUGAUAUUUGGGAAGAAUUUAUAGCCUCACUGAAGUAUAUUGUGUUGGGUUAAAAAUGAGAAGCACACAGGACAGUGGAAUUCUUAAGAAAUGUCCCCUGGGCUGUAUAUGGGCCUACUGGAAGAAUAUUGCAGAGGGGCUGGGAGAAUCACUUAGUAAAAAGACUCUAAUCAAAUAUUGUCACCAAUGGUGGCCGCCAUAUCGAUUAGAAAACGAAAAAGUGGCCAAUGAAUGGGACCCCGAAUUAUAAUACCCUCCUUCAACUUAUGUUGUAUCUCAGGAGAGAGGAAAAUGGAUUGAAGUAUCAUACGCAGAUAUGUUCUUUUCCCUGUGAAAUCAUCCCGAGUGGCAAAGGGACUGUGGCAUGGUCCCACCCUCUGACCCGCUUAAAGGUGGUAUUGUGAAGAAAAAUUUCGUUGUCUUAAUUGUCUGGUAACUGUUAAAAAGUGUUGUUUAGCUUGUGUCUGGUAUUGCCCUUUUGUUUCACUUGUGUCUUGUAACACGAUAACGUAUCCUCAGCAGGAUGUGACAUUACUAAAUGCUCACCAUUAGAAUGUAUUCUGGAGGUUGGAAAAAGUCUGGGAGUAAGCCUUUGAAGAUUCGUGGAUUGCAAUCAAUGUGGUUUUGCAAGCAUGAAGGAGGAUGAGAUGUGCCAGGUGUGGAUGGUUUUAUGAUAAUGAAAUGUGAGUUUAGUAAAGAAAGUUGUUGUAAGUCGAGGAGAAUAUAGAGGAUCAGUUAAUGGAACCCUCAGCUCUCCCUCUCCACCCUGGUAAUACGAGGGGGAGUGAAAUGGGGGCGAGUAGAUGUUUGGAGGAUACAGAUUCCAGUCAGGUGACUGGAAGAGUGGGGCACUGUCCUGCUGUUCAUGCCCCUUUAAGAUAAGCAUUAAAGGUGGAAGGACGGCUGGUUGAUAUGCAUGUCCCUCUUAAAGCAUUGGACCUGUUAAAUUGGAAACAGUUUGUGGGGCCAAUGCGAAGAAAAGUAUUGAAGCUACUAAAAGUAAUAAUGAUAAUUGAAAAAUAUAUAAUAGUAAAAAUAAAUAAUAAUCCUCUUCAGUAAUGAGAACUGUUAAGAGUUUAAAAAAAGCUAAAGAAAUGGAAUAUAAACACCCACAAGAUUAUAUUAACCAUCUUUUGCCCAGGGAGAACCCAGACUGGAAUCCUAACUCCAGGAGGGACCUGGACAGACUAGAGGAAUGUCAACAAUUAAUUUUGUAUGGGGUCCAGGAUGGGACCCACAAACCAAACCAAACAAACUUGUGCAUGAGGUUAAACAAGGGUCUGACAAAGCAUUUUCAAUCUCUUUUGAGAGGCUAUGUGAGCCUGCUAGAAAAUUGAUAUAUUGGGACCUGGAACCUGACUGUAAAUGUUUUACAUAUUGUUUACAUGUUGGCCUGCCCUGGAUAAUGGAAAGCAAAAAACAGAGACCAGGCCAGAGUGAGAUCAUUGUCUGUGAGUUACGGCUGAAAUCGAGCUUGAUUGGGUUAUAUCAGUGUGUAUAUUGUAAGCAAGAAGAGCAUGGGAAAAAGAAUUGUUCCCGAUCCUGGCAGAAGCAUCUAGGUCUAAAUUAGAUCCUAUCUGGACAAUAGGUCAAGAUAAGGGCUCAGACUGGCUGGAGGUUGAAUUAAAUUCCCUAGCAGAACCAUGAAGCUGGGAAGGACAGGGUUAAUUUUCGUUGAAUACAGGACCUAGUUAUGCUGUUCUAAAUUCUUGCAAGGAACCUUCAGGUAAAGUUUUCUAUAACAGCUGGUGGUGCGACAGGGAAAAAGAUGUUAUGCCUUUUUUCCAGCUCCUCAGGAGAGAGCUGGGAAAAUGGACCUUGCUAUACAAACCUGAAUGUCCGUUGCCGCUUUUGGGUGUGAAAACAGGAGGCUAAAAUGAUGGGCUCGGGGAGCCUCACUGACACCAGCCCCCACCCCAUUGCUGGCUGGCACAGCGCUGUAUCUGCAGUGUGUUUGAGCCAUAGGGUGGUGUGAGGAACCAGCCCUCAGGCGGGAAUAUGUGUCAAAGCUCUAUUGUAACUCCUCUCGUUUGCAUCCCAAAAGGCCUUCCUGAGAGAACUGAGACACCGAUAAGGACCUGAGGAGUGGAGGGGGUGAAGGCCCACUUCAGCUGCUCGGCCUUCCCACGGCAAAAUGGAUACAGGUUGUGAUAACAUCAAGUCUUCUAAGACCCUGGGCGCCUACAGACAACAUUUAUGUGGACUCUGACCCACCUGGGCAAUCUACCAGCGGGAGACUGGAGACAGGACAAAGACGACAAAGGACUAGAAUCAACAAAGAACCCCACAGGAGACCCUUGAGCCUGCAUAAUUACAAAGAUAGCCAAUUCCAGGAAAUAAAAUGACUAUGUAGAAGAAUUCUGGGAACUCAUUGACAUGGAACUGAAUAUGCAUGUUUUUGGUGUAUAUUAGUAGGGAUGUUUCCCUGACUCGUUGGAGCACUCAUGGUGGAGAAUCCCCAGUGCUUCCCAGCGCUGCAAUAAAGAAUGCCUGCUCAAUAA